UGGAGAGUUUGAUCCUGGCUCAGGACGAACGCUGSCGGCGUGCUUAACACAUGCAACUCGAACGGAAAGGCCCUUCGGGGUACUCGAGUGGCGAACGGGUGAGUAACACGUGGGUGAUCUGCCCUGCACUUUGGGAUAAGCCUGGGAAACUGGGUCUAAUACCGGAUAGGACCACGGCAUGCAUGUGCUGUGGUGGAAAGCUUUUGCGGUGUGGGAUGGGCCCGCGGCCUAUCAGCUUGUUGGUGAGGUUACGGCUCACCAAGGCGACGACGGGUAGCCGGCCUGAGAGGGUGUCCGGCCACACUGGGACUGAGAUACGGCCCAGACUCCUACGGGAGGCAGCAGUGGGGAAUAUUGCACAAUGGGCGCAAGCCUGAUGCAGCGACGCCGCGUGAGGGAUGACGGCCUUCGGGUUGUAAACCUCUUUCGCCAGGGACGAAGCGCAAGUGACGGUACCUGGAGAAGAAGCACCGGCCAACUACGUGCCAGCAGCCGCGGUA
rnacentral:rRNA from 1 species